rnacentral:lncRNA from 1 species
CUGCGAAGCCCUUCAAGUCAGGGGUCUUUUCCUGAACUUCCAUCUCCAGUGCUUUGGUCAGCACUUCCAGAAACUGCCUGAUAGUGGGACCACGUCAGCCUCCUACCUUUCGGAGAUCCGUCUCCCUCACUCUGCUUUUGUGUACUUGAUUGCCAAGUUGUGACGCUUAGUGCCCCAGACUGGCAGAGACCCCUGUGUCCACAUGGUCCCAAAUAGAGACCACUAUGUCUACUGGUCGCUGUUUAGCAGUGUGACCUUGAAAAACUCACAUUUCAUUUGUCCUUCGGUGUCUGAAUUUUGUUUUGUUUUGUCUUAUUUUAUUUUAUUUUUUUUGGUAGUGCUAGGGUGUGAAAUCAGUGCCCCAUGAAUGCUAAACACAUGUUCAGCCAUGAAGCUACAUCACCAACCCUAGUGUCUUAGUUAGAAAUGAGAAUGUAAUGCAGAACUUCAUGAGAACUAAUUAAAAGAAUAGCUAGCGUGAUGAUUCAGAUAUAGUAGGUGCACAAUAAAUUGUUCUUUUCCUAUACUCUUAAUCAAUGGCUUUCAUAUUUUUUAAAAUCCUCUUUACUUCAUACUAGAUUAUUAUAAUGGCUACACUAUCUUUCCUGACAUUUUAAAGUCUCUCGUGCCUCUAGGAUAACUUUAGAUAUUGCAACCAGAUUAAAUAUUUAUAUAAUCUUCACUGUGUGUUAAAUACUAGGCCUUUUCUGUCCCAUGGUUUAAAAUAAUCCAGCAAGCAAAGAAACUCACCGUGACUAUGAACCUAGAAAGUAAAUGCACACUUUAGUUGACAGCUUUGCUAUAACCUGUUUUGUGUGCCCCACAGGCCGCCACCCACCUCAAUACUUUUCACUCCUUUUUCC